UGAUGAAAGAUGUCUGGAGUGCUGAUGGUUUGAGAUGAAAUCAGAUGAUGAACAACCUGUGAUGAAGAACAAACAUCAAUGAAAUCGAAAACACACAGGGUUGAACACGGAUUUGAAGAAACCCUAACUGAAGGUUUUGUCCGGUCAUCUCUGUUGUGGUUUCUUUCGGCUUUCUUCCACAUCAACGAUUAGCAAACACAAAGGGUUUUACACGAUGUGGUUUAAUGGUGGCAUGUUUGUGCUGGUUCAACAAAGCCAGAAAGCGUAG
rnacentral:lncRNA from 1 species